UGGGGAAUAUUGGACAAUGGGCGCAAGCCUGAUCCAGCCAUGCCGCGUGAGUGACGAAGGCCUUAGGGUUGUAAAGCUCUUUUUGGCGGGGAAGAUAAUGACGGUACCCGCAGAAUAAGCUCCGGCUAACUUCGUGCCAGCAGCCGCGGUAAUACGAAGGGAGCUAGCGUUGUUCGGAAUCACUGGGCGUAAAGCGCACGUAGGUGGGCAGUUAAGUCAGGGGUGAAAGCCCGAGGCUCAACCUCGGAAUUGCCUCUGAUACUGGCUGUCUAGAGUUCGAGAGAGGUGAGUGGAAUUCCUAGUGUAGAGGUGAAAUUCGUAGAUAUUAGGAAGAACACCGAUGGCGAAGGCGGCUCACUGGCUCGAUACUGACACUGAGGUGCGAAAGCGUGGGGAGCAAACAGGAUUAGAUACCCACGUAGUCCCUGAGCGGGCUGGCAAGGCGCAU
rnacentral:rRNA from 1 species